AUGAUUUUCAGAGCUGGUGGGAGAGCACAGGAGGACAGAAGGGCUCAUUGGUCUUCUCUGAACAAGCUCUUGCAUAAAGAGCAUCUCGACUCUACUGGGAAGGACUUCAUCUCAGUCCCAGGUGAAGCCUGGGGUAGAGUUGUGCUCAGCCCCCUCUGCAUGUACAACCGCAUGUUGCGAAUGCCAUUCUGCAAACUCUUCUUCAUUCCCCGCAGGUUUUGGAUUACCUAUUUGCACGUGGACAGCUUUGUGAGAAGGGCUUUGAUCCACUUCUUGUUGAAGCUGCUUUGGAAAUGCACCAGUGUUCAGAGAAGAAGAUCACAGAACUUCUCCAACUAAUGAGUCAAUUUAAAGAAAUGGGCUUUGAACUAAAAGACAUUAAGGAGGUCUUAUUAUUACAUAACAAUGACCAACACAACGCUUUGGAAGAUCUAAUGGCUCGUGCGGGAGCCAGCUGAAAACACAUUUCUGGAUUCUCAGCAUGCAACGGAGCAGCACUAGCCCUGCCAUCUUCGCAUCCAGUGUGACUUGCUCUCGGCAGGAAGGAGUCUGACUUUUUGCAUACAAGGGAGAAUGACUGAGCAAGCCCACCCAUGUGCAUCACUCUAACAUUUCUCUUUCUGAUGAGACCCAACUUUAUUUCUUAAAUUAAAUUUUUAAAGUGUCCUUUCCUAAGUUUCCUUUUUCCAGCUUGGCCACGGAGAGUUUAGACUGCUCACUGGAAUUCUACUGGAAUUUUACAUAGGUAGAGGCAGGAGUGGUUUCUCCCCCUCGCUGUUGCAUUGGAGUUAGACAGAAGAAUACUAAGUUGGUUCUGAAACUAGGAUGCUUUGGUUCUUUGAAGCUGCUUUCAUGGUGUCUGCUUGUACUGAAUUACUUGAUUAUGUCAUAGUCUGGAUUAACUGGUUAAAUUUGACCUUUAGUGCAAUGGAGUUUUAUUUUUUUGGUUGAAAGUUAGUCUGUAACUUAGUAAAACGCUGCUUCAGAAAUGGUUGCUAUGCAUAAAGAGAGAAGCUGCUCCUCUUGUGUGGGAAAUGGUUUUGGUUUUUUGGGUUUUUUUUGGUUUUUUUUUUAAUCUAUGCAUCUAACACUUCUGCCAGACAUGAGCGUUCAAUGCUGAGUAGUGUAUAAGUUCUUCUGAAACAGGUAUGUUGUGAACUCUACCUGGACCUGCAACUCUUGUUGGUUCUUGAACCUGAAAGCAGAGAGCUGGGGCUCAGUAUUCUUAAUCCCUCAGGUUUGUAGGAUAUUUAAGACAAUGCCCUGCUAGGAAAUCAGUUAUAAUUUAAAACAAAAAGAUAUUUGGUGUGAUGCAGGAGGCUUCUUUCAAACACUUUCUUUAAAACAAAUAUACUCACUGUAUUAGUUCCAUUUUUCACACUGCUAUAGAAUUACAUAAUAGUAUCUAGUACUAGAAAUCAGGUUUUGGGUUGUUUUUGAUAGUUCAAAGUAUUACUUUGCACAUUGUUCAAGUUCUAAAUACAUAAAAUAUCAGCAGUCUUGAGGAAUCUUUUAAAGUAAUUUGCUAAAUAUUUUGAUCCUACAGAAGAGCAACUAAUAAAACAUUCAAAUAUAACUCCCA
ensembl:lncRNA